GGGCAGGUGGCGAAACGGCAGACGCGGCGGACUUAAAAUCCGCUGACCGCAAGGUCUUGAGGGUUCAAGUCCCUCCCUGCCCACCC
rnacentral:tRNA from 1 species